UAAGCAAUUAAGUUACCACAACUUAAGGUGUGUCUUUAGAGAAUGAUUAAGGUGAGUACUUAGCUUGGGUGAGCUAGGGUCAUGUGCACAAUAAAUUACUAUGGGUUGGUAGAUGAAUAAUAAAUUGUUAAAUCACAAUAAAUGGACAAUUUAUCAUGUCCGUGUCCAGAAGGACAUGACGGUAUCUGCUUUCCACUUCCAGUUUCAGCUCCUUUUCUGGAUUUCCUCUGGAGUCAGUCAGAGAGGCACAUACAAGCAAAGAGAUGAUCCCAUUAUUUUAUGAAUUCUGUUUUGGAAUGGUGAAAAUCAAACACUUUGAUGGCUAAAGUUGGUCAUAUGAAUCUUACAUGAAAUACAUACAAUGGUGUUAUUAUCAGAACCUCUUCUUUUCUUGAAAGUAGCAGCCAUUGAAGGAUAGAAUCCUAGAAUGAUUUGGGUUGGAAGGGACUUUAAGGAUCAUCUAGUUCCAAAUUCCCUGCCAUGGACAGGGACAGCUUCCACUAGACUGGUUGGCUCAGAGUUCCAUCCAGCCUGGCCUUGAACUCUUCCAGGGAUGCAGCAUCCACAGCUUCUCUGGUCAGCCUAUUCCAGUGUUUCAGCACCGUCACAGUAAAGAAUUUCUUAAUAAUAAUAUGUGCACAUAUAAAACCUUGAGACAAGCUUAGCAACUCAACAUACACAUCAAAUAUCUGAGAAAACUGGUGAUGCAGCCAAGCUCUCUAACACCACUACCACCACCCCAUUUUGAGAGGAGUUCUGCUGUGGACAACCCAAUGGUCUAAGAAGGACUGUUUCUCAACAGGUGUACUACUUGAGACAGUCAUGUCAUGUUUCUGAAGGAGCCAUAAGGAAUUACUUCAGUACAGAAAGACAAUCCACAGACACAUUCUAUCUCCUGUUACUACAUACCAUCACACCCCGGAAUCUAUAUAGAAAAUACUGAGUGAUUGCUGCUUAAGCUCAUAUCUAGCUGUAAAUUCAGUGCUGCCUUCCAAACCUUUGUCCAAGACCUGAUACCCAGGUCCCUGUUAAAGGAGACACUGUUAAAGGAUGGAAUAUAUUGCAUGGCUCUGCCUCAUCACAAGCAGCAUGGUAUAAUGGGUCUGUGGCAAGGUAUACAGAUCAAAGCCCAGAAGCAGUGAUUAGCAAAGAAGGGUGAAUCUCCAGAAGUCUGAAUCAAGUAGUCACUAAAAGCAUUGAAUACUGCUGAGAAUUUUAUGAAAAGCAUGAAAGUAUACUCUGAUGAGACUGCUCACUAUUUUCAUCUCUAAUAACAUGAGAAAGACUAUAAAAAAAAAAAAAAAGAUGUUUUUCAUUAGAUCUUCUGCUACAGGUUCUCAUUACCAUGAGAACUGUGAAGCUGCUAAAGAAGAAGAAGAAGAAGGAAAACAAGCUGUUGUGCAACUUCUGUGAAACUUUGAAUUUAUUUGACUGAGGUCAGGACUGCAAGUACCCUUGUACCAGAAACAACCUACCUACCUUAUAGUCUGCCUGCCUGAUAUUGCUCUUAUUCUUGGUGGAAAAACAAAGAGCAAGACCAACAGAACUUCCCAGAAGCAGGCUUAAUGAAAAUUGAGGGGAAAUCUCUGUGGGCUGCAACUCAAGUGUCUAUUAGUGAGAAGGAGGAGGAAGACUCAGCACCCCAGAAUGCUGGAAAGGGAGGCAAGCCUGUGGGGUGGCACUUUGCCAGCCAGAGCCAUGGAGGAAAGCCUGGAACAAGCAGUCCUGAACGGAGCUCAGAUGCAGUGACCUCUGUGAUCAGGCCAUGUGUCACAAGCUAAAGUGAGUCCACUAACAAAACCUGGGGGCCCGCAUUUUCCCUGAUCUUCCUUUUUGCUUUUGCUGCUGUGAAGCUUUUCCGGAUCACCUUUCAGGCUGGGUGCCUUCAGAAUCUGGAGAUGUUCAAGAAGGUGGAAAGUGCUUCAUAAAAGGGGCAGAGGGCCCAUCAUCUCAGGCGACUAGACAGCAAACAACAGGAGAUGCAACAGCCUAUGCCAGGGCUGUUUUAUAGUCACCCAGAACUGAGCAGAGCUUGUUGCUUAUUGCAGCAGUUUGGUUUGGGGAAGACUGUUGGUCUCUUUAGGUUGUUGUCCUGUCCUGAAGGACGCAGUAUUUUCCAGCCCAGGAGAGAUUGAUGAGAGACUGAGCGAGCCGAGCUACAACUCCGCGAAGAAGACUUCCUGAAUUUGCCAUCUUUUCAGAACAUGCCUGGACCCGAGGCGAGAUCCUCAGCUGGGAUAAAUCAGCUCCGCUUCUCUGUGGCCAAGGGAGGCAGGAAGAUGCACAGUGGUUCCGGAUACAACCCGCCUUGUUUAGAGACUGGGCUGCUUCUUUUCCCUGGUAAAAUUGAGACCACCAUUUUCAUGUGCUCAAUCAUGAAGUAUGUGAACAUUUUUCAAAAGCACAACUUCCCAAUGACCCAGAGUGCCUUUAAAUAAAGAAGUGCUAUUGGGGCCUCGGCAGUGUGAAAGGAGCAGUUGAAAUCCCUGUCUUGCCCAGCUGUUAAACCUGUGUUUGAUUUCUGAAAAACCUAUAGAGAAAAAGGGUUAAAGGAGACCAUACAAGAAGUAGAAGAAAUAAAUUGAAUGCACAUGUGCAAUCAUUAUUCAUACUAAGGUUCCUUGUAUUACUUCAUAACACAGCUGUAUACACAAAAAAGCCAGUCCAGUUUGGUUUCUUCCUAUUUGAAUCUUAUUAAUUUCUGUUUAAUGGAACACAAAUGUUUGUGCUCUUCAUUUUGACGAAUGCAGCCUCGUGGUGUAUU